GACACAACAAAAGGAAGGAACGAGGGAUGUUCUGGGCAGGAUGUGACACAACAGAAGGAAAGAACAGGGAUGCUCCAUGCAGGAUGUGACACACAUCAUCCAAGGACAGGACACUCCCAAUCUUUAUCAGACGGAUGUUAGAGAGCAGGACUAAACGCUGUCACCACUUAGACCUGAACUCUUCUCCAAAGGACACUGACAUCAGGGCUACCUGCCUAUUCAGAUGAGGAAGCCAAGGCUGAUUGGCAGGCAGACAGACCGGCUCUUCCAAAGCUCCAACUGCAUAGUGCUGGGCUCCUGCUGUCACAUUCUUCAGCAUAAAGCACCAAGAAGACAUAAUGGAACUAAUGACAUCUAUCUAUUCUUGUCUAUGUCUAUUUUAUAUCAUAUUUAUUUUACGCCCUUUAGAAUUUACAAGGGAAGCAUUAUUGCUGAAAGAGAAAAUGUUACCAAGGCAAUAAUCUACACUCAGAGCUUAUUGCUAACGGCAUCAUGCAAAUUCUAAUCCAAUGGGCCUUAACUGCAUUAUGCUGACAACUGUCACCUUUCUGUUUCACACACUCUCAGUCCUGGCUUUAUGCUCCAAACCCUUAAAUAGGACUUGUCACAUUUACAACAGCAAGAGACACUGGUGCUGAGCAUGCUAUUGACAUGACAUUAUUCACUGCACUACAACAGAGAUCUAACUCAACUGGCGUAAUAACUCAUCAAUAUCCUCCGUGGGACUUCGCAAUGCUAAUUCCUCCAGUACUAGUUAAGGGAUGCUAAUAGCAGCAAAGGAUGGCAGUGUCUUCCCUAGGAGACAUAUAUGACAAGAUAUCUUCUUGCUUUGAUUUGCAGUCUUCGAAUGGUCCUGUCUAACUCAGAUCAG